AAGUGCUAAAAACUACUUAAUUGAUGCUAACAAACGCAUGGAAUUUUUACCUAUAAAGAGAUCAAAAAAUUGUGUUUAUUACAUACAAAAGAGAAAAAAUAUGGAUCAAAUUUUCAUGAAUAUUUAUAUUUUGAUCGCCUUUCUUUCUCUAUUAUUUAUUAUGGAAAUUAGUGGAGAUGAUAUUCCCUGCACUAGUGAUUCGGAAUGUCCAGAGGUGUUAAAUUAUUUCUCUCAGUGUUACCAAGGAAUUUGUCGAUACUAUUGAGCAUAUUACUUAAGUUUAAAAAUAAUUAUAUUAUUUUUAGGGUUAGGGUUUUAAAAAAUGGUCGUCGUCGUGUUGUGGUUUUGUAAAUUUUUUUGCAAUUUUGGUUGGUAUAGGUAUCGUGAUAGUGUUUGUGGUCGUUAUGGUGUGAGUUAACUACAAUUUAUUCUUUAAUAUAAAAAUGGUGGUAACAGUAUCAAAAUUGACACCUGUCGAAACCGUUUUGUAAUGGUCGAUUUAGCGGUUGCAUAUCGUUUUUUAAAACUCAAGGUAUAAUUUCAUUUGUAUGUUAAUAAUGUUUGUACGUUUACAAAUUACUUUAGAAUUUAAUUUAUGCUUCUAUGUUCUUUUAAUUUUAUGAUA